rnacentral:rRNA from 1 species
AACGAACGCUGGCGGCAUGCCUAACACAUGCAAGUCGAACGAGAUCUUCGGGUCUAGUGGCGCACGGGUGCGUAACGCGUGGGAAUCUGCCCUUUGGUUCGGAAUAACAGUUGGAAACGACUGCUAAUACCGGAUGAUGACGAAAGUCCAAAGAUUUAUCGCCAGAAGAUGAGCCCGCGUAGGAUUAGCUAGUUGGUGUGGUAAAGGCGCACCAAGGCGACGAUCCUUAGCUGGUCUGAGAGGAUGAUCAGCCACACUGGGACUGAGACACGGCCCAGACUCCUACGGGAGGCAGCAGUGGGGAAUAUUGGACAAUGGGCGAAAGCCUGAUCCAGCAAUGCCGCGUGAGUGAUGAAGGCCUUAGGGUUGUAAAGCUCUUUUACCCGGGAUGAUAAUGAUAGUACCGGGAGAAUAAGCUCCGGCUAACUCCGUGCCAGCCGCCGCGGUAA